rnacentral:tRNA from 1 species
AACUAUAUAUUCUAAUAAAGAUUUUAAAUUGCAAAUUUAAAGAUAAUGUAAUAUUUAUAGUUU